CGUUCCCCAUUCCACAUCCUGAGAAAUCCCUAGCUGGCAAAUCGCGGCCGCCGUCUCAGCCGCGCGUCGUUGCCAUCCGCGCCCACCCUCGCUUGCUGCCCCACCCCCACUCCACCACCUGCCUCCACUCCCGCACGCAGCCGGAGUCGGCACGCAGGAUAUCCAGCGCGAGCUUGUCCUCCGCUACGAGCUUGUCGACGACGGCCAUGUCCAGCGCGAGCUCGUCCGGGAUAGGUGGCCCGACUGCGGUCAGACUGUGAGGCGAUUCUUCUCGCAGACCCCGGCGCAUACGAACAUCUUCUUCUACAAAUGCAUGAACCAUAAUCCAAAGAAAGGUGGUUGUGAUUUCUGGCAUUGGGAGCUCUCAUAUGUUCUGCAUUUGGUGAAAUAUGGUCAUUUGGGAAGGCAUGAGCAUCAAGCAGGGCAGGGGCAUGGCCAACUCGCUGGGCAAGGGCAUGGCCAACAACCUGGACAUCUUCUGGUGCAAGAGGAAGGGAUUAAAGAGAUGAGAAGAUCAGUAGUUGCAGUAGGAAAUGAGGUUGUGGUUGUCUUGAAGAUGAUAGUUGCUUUACUAUUUGCACUUGUUGUGUUGUGUGGAGUUGCAGUGUUAAAAAUGUGAUCUUUGUGUGUUGGGGAAUAGGGAUGUAUCAAAUAAGAGUAUGAUGAAUGAAUUUAACAAGAUUGUUA